CACGUAGGCGGAUGGGUAAGUCAGAUGUGAAAUCCCGGGGCUUAACUUCGGAACUGCAUUUGAUACUGCCUUUCUUGAGUGUGGUAGAGGGGGAUGGAAUUCCCGGUGUAGAGGUGAAAUUCGUAGAUAUCGGGAGGAACACCAGAGGCGAAGGCGAUCCCCUGGGCCAUUACUGACGCUGAGGUGCGAAAGCGUGGGGAGCAAACA
rnacentral:rRNA from 1 species